GCAGUCGAACGGAAACAUGUCUAGCUUGCUAGAUGAUGUCGAGUGGCGGACGGGUGAGUAAUGCUUGGGAACUUGCCUUUGCGAGGGGGAUAACAGUUGGAAACGACUGCUAAUACCGCAUAAUGUCUACGGACCAAACAGGGCUUCGGCUCNGGCGCAAAGAGAGGCCCAAGUGAGAUUAGCUAGUUGGUGAGGUAAAGGCUCACCAAGGCAACGAUCUCUAGCUGUUCUGAGAGGAAGAUCAGCCACACUGGGACUGAGACACGGCCCAGACUCCUACGGGAGGCAGCAGUGGGGAAUAUUGCACAAUGGGGGAAACCCUGAUGCAGCCAUGCCGCGUGUGUGAAGAAGGCCUUCGGGUUGUAAAGCACUUUCAGUUGUGAGGAAAAGUUAGUAGUUAAUACCUGCUAGCCGUGACGUUAACAACAGAAGAAGCACCGGCUAACUCCGUGCCAGCAGCCGCGGUAAUACGGAGGGUGCGAGCGUUAAUCGGAAUUACUGGGCGUAAAGCGCACGCAGGCGGUUUGUUAAGCUAGAUGUGAAAGCCCCGGGCUCAACCUGGGACGGUCAUUUAGAACUGGCAGACUAGAGUCUUGGAGAGGGGAGUGGAAUUCCAGGUGUAGCGGUGAAAUGCGUAGAUAUCUGGAGGAACAUCAGUGGCGAAGGCGACUCCCUGGCCAAAGACUGACGCUCAUGUGCGAAAGUGUGGGUAGCGAACAGGAUUAGAUACCCUGGUAGUCCACACCGUAAACGCUGUCUACUAGCUGUUUGUGACUUUAAGUCGUGAGUAGCGAAGCUAACGCGAUAAGUAGACCGCCUGGGGAGUACGGCCGCAAGGUUAAAACUCAAAUGAAUUGACGGGGGCCCGCACAAGCGGUGGAGCAUGUGGUUUAAUUCGAUGCAACGCGAA
rnacentral:rRNA from 1 species